AUUAAUCUGACAGAUAAGUGUUUUAGAUUUAGAAUAUAAAAAUGAAGUUUUAGUACUUCGAUUAAUA
rnacentral:tRNA from 1 species